UACGAAGGGGGCUAGCGUUGUUCGGAAUUACUGGGCGAAAAGCGCGCGUUGGCGGAUUCUUAAGUCUGGGGUGAAAGCCCGGAGCUCAACUCCGGAACUGCCUUGGAUACUGGGAGUCUCGAGGAUGGAAGAGGUCAGUGGAAUGCCGAGUGUAGAGGUGAAAUUCGUAGAUAUUCGGCGGAACACCAGUGGCGAAGGCGACUGGCUGGUCCAUUUCUGACGCUGAGGUGCGAAAGUGUGGGGAGCAAACAGG
rnacentral:rRNA from 1 species